GACAGAGGAUGCAAGCGUUAUCCGGAAUGAUUGGGCGUAAAGCGUCUGUAGGUGGCUUUUUAAGUCCGCCGUCAAAUCCCAGGGCUCAACCCUGGACAGGCGGUGGAAACUACCAAGCUGGAGUACGGUAGGGGCAGAGGGAAUUUCCGGUGGAGCGGUGAAAUGCGUAGAGAUGUGGAGGAACACCAAUGGCGAAGGCAGCCUUCUGGGCCAACACUGACGCUCAUGCACGAAAGCGUGGGGAGCAAACAGG
rnacentral:rRNA from 1 species